rnacentral:rRNA from 1 species
UACGGAGGAUCCAAGCGUUAUCCGGAUUUAUUGGGUUUAAAGGGUGCGUAGGCGGCCUGUUAAGUCAGGGGUGAAAGACGGUAGCUUAACUAUCGCAGUGCCCUUGAUACUGAUGGGCUUGAAUGUACUAGAGGUAGGCGGAAUGUGACAAGUAGCGGUGAAAUGCAUAGAUAUGUCACAGAACACCAAUUGCGAAGGCAGCUUACUAAAGUAUGAUUGACGCUGAGGUGCGAAAGCGUGGGGAGCAAACAGG